UACGUAGGGUGCAAGCGUUGUCCGGAAUUAUUGGGCGUAAAGAGCUCGUAGGCGGUCUGUCGCGUCGGCUGUGAAAACCCGGAGCUCAACUCCGGGCCUGCAGUCGAUACGGGCAGGCUGGAGUUCGGUAGGGGAGACUGGAAUUCCUGGUGUAGCGGUGAAAUGCGCAGAUAUCAGGAGGAACACCGGUGGCGAAGGCGGGUCUCUGGGCCGAUACUGACGCUGAGGAGCGAAAGCGUGGGGAGCGAACAGG
rnacentral:rRNA from 1 species